rnacentral:rRNA from 1 species
CAGUCGCCACGGUAAUACGUAGGUGGCAAGCGUUGUCCGGAAUUAUUGGGCGUAAAGGGCUCGCAGGCGGUUUCCUAAGUCUGAUGUGAAAGCCCCCGGCUCAACCGGGGAGGGUCAUUGGAAACUGGGAAACUUGAGUGCAGAAGAGGAGAGAGGAAUUCCACGUGUAGCGGUGAAAUGCGUAGAGAUGUGGAGGAACACCAGUGGCGAAGGCGACUCUCUGGUCUGUAACUGACGCUGAGGAGCGAAAGCGUGGGGAGCGAACAGGAUUAGAUACCCCUGUAGUCCCUGUCUCUUAUAC